UAGCUCAGUUGGUAGAGCAUCUGAUUUGUAAUCAGAGGGUCGAGGGUUCAAGUCC
rnacentral:tRNA from 1 species